UAGACGGAUUUGUAUUGUCUAUAUAAACGCAAUCUGAAUGCCUCAGACUGAAAUUACAAAACUCCAGUUUGACAAUACUUGCAAAUUAUCCCCCGGUUUUUGGCCAAACCUAACAAUAAAAAUGAAAUUAUCGUUGCAAUUCGCUUUAUUCGUCACUUUUGUCAUCUUCGCAUUUGCCAUACAAGGUUACACGGCCGAUUGCCCAAACGGAUUACCCAGUCGCACGGGUUCAUGUUGGUGGAAUAACCAUAUGGUUCGAGAUCACCGCUGCUCCACUGGAAGAUUCCAGUUUUUCUAUUGGUUCGGUACUUGCUAUUGCUGCGAUGACGUUUCGCAGACGUAUCGAGGAAGUUAUGCCUCACGACAUGUUUAUUUUUUAAGAAUUGGGUUACUUCUAUGGCAGAGUGUGUCAAUUAACACUAUCUAUGGAAAAUAAUAAAUAGAACCUUUGGAAAGUCA